rnacentral:lncRNA from 1 species
GGAGGAUGGCAUCUAAGGAAACUACAUACAUAGCUACAUUGUUUUUUUACAAAUGUGGCAAAGAAUGAAGAGUAUUACAUCCUACCUUGAUAUUAGAGUGAAAUAGUUGAAGGCUUCCUUCGAUUUGAUUUAAUAUAUACAUACAUUAAAGACCUUAACACAUACCUCCUUCGAUUUGAUUUAACCUUGAAGAAGGCAGAGGAGGACACGAGACCCGGAG